GCUCGUGGAUCGAUGAAGACCGCAGCUAAAUGCGCGUCAGAAUGUGAACUGCAGGACACAUGAACACCGACAAGUUGAACGCAUAUUGCACAUCGUACAACACCGUACGAUGUACACAUUUUUGAGUGCCUAUAUUUAUCUAUUCAACUAUACGUGUGCCACCCACCCGGUGCGCGCGUAUGCGUAGUGAUGUUUGCCCGCCUUCGGUGGCGGUCAAACAUUUAAGAUAGUCAAGCGUGCGACGGUCAUAGUUGCGCGAUUGAUGAAUACAUCCCACCAGACGUCCGCAUCCCGUGGCGCUAGUGUUGUAUUCCAUCAGAGGGAGAGAGAGAGAGACAGUAUAGCAUAUCUAGUAGGCCUCAAAUAAUGUGUGACUACCCCCUAAAUUUAAGCA
rnacentral:rRNA from 1 species